ensembl:lncRNA
UUGGAAUUCUGGUGAAACUUAUGGCCUCUUCCCACAAUAAUGUUCCUAAAUGAAUAAAAUAAGACACAUAGGAUUAUAAAGGAAACAACUAUACCGAAAUAGUUAACAAAAUAUUUUUUUGAAACAAGUUCGCAGACCCCAAGUUAAGAAAUGCUCUCUGCUUUGGAGGGAGAGUGUCCCAGGGCUAUCUCUUCUUUCCAGGGUUCUGAGCAAGAUGGUGACCAGCCCUUGUCAGCCAGUCAGCAGGACCCCAGACAGGUAGCUGAAGAACUGCCCAUCUCCAGUGAGGAAUGCCCAGAAGCAAGACAAGGGAGGACGUCGGAGACAAUCCCAGACUGGAAAUGCCGGUUUCCUCUUGGUUCCAGAUCACAGCAAAAUGAGGGCGUCCCCCUCCACACUGAAGUUCUAGCAAAGGCAGGAGAUACAGAAAAUCCAACUCCCAAAGAACAGAACAUGGUGACAAGGGAUUUGGAUGUGGCAUUUCCAGACCUGAAGAACAAGAUCUGGCAGCUGGAAGACACCCUGGAUGAGUUGAAUGAGGAGUUCGUUAAGCUCAGCACUCAGGCCCUGAAACUGCAGACAGGAGGGAAUGAGCAAGACCAAAUAUGGCACCAAGGGAUCUUGUUCACGGAAGACAAACUAAACAAGAGAGAAGUAGAUGAGCCAGAGGGUAAGACGCUGGGAUCCGGUGCUCCGAGGAGUGACCAAGCCCUGCUCCUGGAGGUUAAGAGGACCCACCUGGCCCAGAGGAUUGAAGAUGUAGAAUGGCAGCUGUCCCUCCUCCUUCAUCUUGCAGAUCCCAGAAUGCAUGCAGAAGAAGGCCGACUGGAUCGCCAUGCAAGUUUAGAUCUCCUUCCCUUGCAUUAAGGAGACUGUGGUUCCUACCGAUUGGUGGCAUCUUCAACAUGAAGGAUAUGAUGGGUUGCCUUGGAGAUAUUACCUUUCCAAAAAGCUGUAAAACUCAAGAAGUUUUGCAAGCAGAUACAAGCAGAGAAUGGAAGAGAAGACUUCUUUACAAUAUACUGUUCUUAUAUAUUUUAUAUAGCAGUCUGUACUCAUAUUAUACAUAUAUGCAUGUCUGUAUUUCAUCUUAUUUCAAGAAAUACUGUUACCUACUGGGCGCAAGGCUAGAGAGUGGGAAUCGUCACUCUUCAGCAGAUCAAUUUGAGAGGCAGAGUGAUGUUCUGGGUAGAGUACUGGCAUUGGAGUCAAGAGGAAUUAGAUUCAAAUUAUGCUUUAGCUGUGUGACCUCAAAUUAGUUACUUAACCUCUCUGAGCUUCAUCUGUAAAAUAGGGAUAAUAAUGGCAUCUACAUUAUAGAGUUGUUGUGACAAAAAAUGAAAUAGUUUCUAUAAAGCAUUUUACAAACCUUAAAGCACUAGAUGAAGUGAGCUGUUAUGAUUAAUUGUGUUAUCCUCGAUGUGGCUACCCCCUCCAAGCAUACAGAUCACAACCUAUCCAAAUUUUCUAAUACAAGGGCAACUUUUGUCCAAGUCAACCUGUAAAUCCUCAGCAGCAGGUGCACCCAAACAUGAUGGAGGCAAUUUUUCUAGAUGCUGGGAAAAGGAAUAAAAAAAAUGCCACAGUCCCA